GUGAGGACUCAUCAAGCAUGAACUAACGCAGUGUCACUGAGGAUGAAGAAGAGCGGAGAGAAGUAAGACAGUUCAGACAAGUGAACUCUGUUCCCAUCUGGAGUCUGGUGAAAGGUAUCCCCUCAAAGCACCACCUCUGAAAAUGUAAUGAUUGGCAUGAUCUAAAAUCUACUCAACGCCCUUUUAAGACUGUUUCUGGUGCUUAUCAAAUCAACAGCCAUUAACAAGAUGCUGCUGAGUGAGGUCAUGACACCUUGGGCUUCAGGAGUUAACAUAUGGAUACAGGAAGACAGAUCUAAGAACAAAAGCCAUCACCCGAAGGGUGGAAGGUUGGAAAGGAACAGGAUGUUCAAACAUGAACCCCUUAACAUGACUCCCAGAAUGAGAAGACAUGUGGAACCCAAGAGAGACUAACCAAAUCCACCAACAUUACAGAUAAUCUGCGGUGUUCAUGUAACAAGAAAAAGAAGCACAACUUGGUUUUAAUCUAAAAUCCAUAACAGUAUAAAGUAACUACUAUAUUACUAAUAUUCCAUUUAACAGUAGAAUAAAGCAACUUGUCAUAAGACUUGAUUCUUCC
rnacentral:lncRNA from 1 species